CAGAUUUUUGCAUUGUUCUUGAGACCGAAAAAGGACCACAAAUACCGAUUCUACUGGAAUAUCUAUCAUCAUGGUGUUGGCUAUGCCAUUCUCAUCCUUGGCAUUCUGAAUGUGUUCAAAGGUCUAGACAUCUUGCACCCUGAACAGAAAUGGAAAUCGACUUACGUAGUUGUGAUUGCAGUCUUGGGUGGAAUUGCUUUGUUGCUGGAAAUAAUUACUUGGAUAGCAGUCUUGAGGAGGUCUAACAAAUCCACCAAGCCCUAUGAUGGAUACAAUGGACAAGGUGGGCAACAGCCAUUCAGUGCAUGAUCAACCAAUUGAUAUUGGUCUUCCAACUAGAGAUAUGAUUUUGUAAUAUCCUUUUAACAAAUUAAGAUUCUAGUUGGCCUAUAUUUUCUAGAACACUUUCUUUUCUUCUCCUCGUUUACUUGAUAUCUUGUAAAAUGGUUUGG
rnacentral:misc_RNA from 1 species